rnacentral:lncRNA from 1 species
UAUCAUAUACCCCGCGAAAAAAAGUAUUAUCAUGUGCAACAUAUAUACAAGGAAAGAAUAAUUAUUUGUAUGCAUCUCAUUGUGUAAAAUUGGAUGACUUUUGAGUCCAAUCGCUCAUAGUUACAUCUGCGACUUUGUCAAUCGAAAUUUUCAAAGCAUCAUCCGAAGCCAUCAAUUUUUAUUAUCUCUGACCUACAAAAGUUAACAAAUAAAAAUACAUUAAAUAAAUAAAUAAAAUACAAAGUAGCAUGUGCAUUGUCGUCACAUAGAAUGUAUGUCAUCUCACCACACCAUUGCUGCAUCUUUUCUAAACUUCCCCGCAUACUCCGAGAGAUGAUGGCGUAUUGUACAUCUGAUUGAAAAAAUAAGAUGAUUAUCACUACCUCGAGAGAUGAUGGCGUAUAGGAUUAGUUAACUGUCCGUGCAUUGGAAAGGGUCAUAAACAUUUCAAUGGUUUAACACGAAUUGUGUCAACUGUACAUCAGUGGUGCAUUUGACUUGCAACACACUUUCAAUUCAAAGAUUUCUGAGUGGAAAAAGGAUACGUAAUAGGUCCUUGUUAUAUACAUAACCAUAAGGUCAAAGGAACCCCAUCCUAAUCUAAGUUAAGCAAAACCCUAUGAGGAAAUUCUGAAUGGUGCUCCUCUUGAACAUCCUAUGAGGAAUAACAAUAUUAAGCAAAACCCGAAACGGUAGUUUAGUGCUUUGAAAAAAAUUACUAUUGCCUGAUCAACUUCGUCUUUAGGAGUAUCUACCGGGGUUUAUAUUUUAAUACAUCCUUUCUUAAAUGUCAGUCUUUGCAUAAAACCUUCAUGUUUCCAAAACACUAUCAUGCAGAAUUCACAUUCUUUAUGAGAAAUACACCUCAUAAUAGAAACUCUGUAUCAUAAUAGAAAUUGUAGGUUUCCUUGAGGGGAAACAUACUAAUGGUCAGAUACGCAUCAUCAUCACAGUUUCAGCCUCUACCGCUACUCAGCAUUACUCAUCUUGUGCAACCUCUCGUCUUUCUUAUUCCGCUCCCUUUUCUGGAGUUUGUCUUCACCAGCGGUAGCAACAAAAGCAAGAUAAGUAAACACACUUCUACAAAGUCGCUGAAACAUGGAUUCAUUAACCCUGUAAACCUAAAGAUCAAGUGAAAGAAAAAAUAAAAUAGAAACUUCUCAUCAGCAAGUAAAAGUUCAGGAAGUCACUGGAACAUAGAACCCAAGAUCAAGUGAAGAACAAUGGAAUUAAAACAUAAAGUAGCAAUAAUAAUGGAAGGGAAGAUCAGCCAUGCCAGUCUACGUAAAGCAAUCCAAAUAAUCCUUCCCUCCUAAUCAUGCUCAGCUAUGCUAACUCUGUAUUGGAUAGAGAAUGGUUUCACCUAUGAGUUCACAAUAGUACUACAUGAUUGGUAGAGCAAGCAUUAGGCUUAAUCCAAGAAUAAGGAGUGCGUCGCAAAUGGACAAGCUCCAAGUCAACACGCUGAUUGUUGUAAAAAUACACCAUAUCGACAUUCCUUCAAUUUUGGCAACAAAUAAAAAGAAAGUAGAAAUACUUGGUUCAAGCUAGUAUUGAUGUAGAGAAAAUAAGCCUUUAAAAUGUGUGGUAUGUGGUUGGCUUACAGAUACUCUUAUGUCUAAAUUUCUCCACAUAAUGUAGGAUUCAUUAUACAAGAUGCAUCAAAACUUAAGUUGAAUGGAUGGAUAUGUACCAGUGUACAUAGAUAUGUAUGCAUCCAGCAACCACAUGGGGAAAAAUAUUGAAGUGAAGCCAUCUGUGCUGAACCCCACAGUUCUGAAUCUAAAUCUUAAAUGCCCAUCACAUUGGCACUCAAUGGUUACACCGACUACUGAAAUUUCUUAGUAGAAAACAACAUCAUUUACGAACCUUUCUCUUUAAAACACCACUAAUACUGCAAUUUUGUAGUCUAACCAUACACCACUAAUACUGCACAUAGUCUGCAUCCUGCCAUGUACUAACUGAAAUAUAUGGAGCUUGCUAUGUUGUAUUAAAAUAAAAUAAGCCGGUCUUUUCUCUGCCCCGCAAAAGGUCAGUCUUUUGCCAUCCUCAAACAAGUUUGUGACAGACUAUGAUUGCACUUCACAUACAUGAAGUAACAAAGAAAUAGUUUCAACUUAAAAAAAACAUAGAUUAGUAAGAAGGAUAUAUGUUCUCAUUGUGCAUAUGAAUGGGCAUCAUAAAUCAAAGAAUUGAAUCUCAAGAUGCAACUUUUAUCAAAGUCAGGUAUGAGUAUCAAUGUGCAGGUAAGCAUGCGGGUUUAACCUGAUUCGUGCACACUAAUUAGACAUCUUUUUAGAUGGUCAGUACUAAGCAUGUACUCCCUCUGUUCCAAAAUAGAUGACUCGACUUUGUACUAACUCAAAGUCGAGUCAUCUAUUUUGGAACGGAGGGAGUAGUACUGAAGCAGUACUUUCUUUUGAUGUAUACUUACUUGCUACUCCAACUUGCAGUACUGAAGCAUGUACCACACUAAUUAGACAUAUUAGAUGGUAAGUUCCUUCUGACUUGCGCAUAGACAUGGUGUCAUUUAUGUCAGAACAAUGUACACGGCAGCUGACCGAGUAUUAAGUCUCAAGUAAUAGGACUGUAAGUAGUCGAGCAACUGAAUAAGUAUAAUAUUCAAACGUUGCAGCCUUGGUUUGCCUACAAAAAAGACAGAGUAAAGCAUAUAUAAAUGCCAAUUGCAUGAUUUAUUCCAAAUUAAUAAUUACAAGAUGCAACAAUGGAUAUUAGUGGCGUGGAGAUAACCCUAUGUGGCGGCGGAGCUCCUUGGAGCCGACGAGUGUGAGAGAGGAGCUCCCUGCUCCUCUCCUCUGUUUUGGGGGUGAGACCGCGAGGUGAACGAGCACAUUUUGCAGAGGUCCAGCAUUUCCCUACUUUUCUCAUAGUGGUAUUGCAUAACGAGUGGAAUUCAUUCCUGAAAAACAUCAAACUGCCAUUGAAUGGUGUCCAUGUGUCAUCAUCUAUUCCCCUAAGACAAUGAAAUUGGGUGACAUGCAAUCAAACAAGAUAAGUUGGGUCUAAUUAAUCAAAAGCACGCACCUGAUUUCAACGAAGAAUAUGCCGCUGUCUCUUCCCUUGAGCCUUCAAUUAAUAGUACGAACUCAUGGUCAAUUUUAAUCUGUUAAACAAAUGCACAUGUGUGAAGCACACAACAAGAGAUUGAUCUGCUAUUGGCACUAUCGAAUGUACAUAGAAGCAUUCUUAAAUAUUCUCAUAUGAUUGGCAGUUAUUCAUUUUGCGGAAAUCCAUCAAUCAGAAACAUAUUAUUUCCAAUCACAAGCAUGUUCUUUACUAAUUAGCAUGACAAUGAUCUCAAAAGGCACAAGCUUUCCUUCAUACAUGAGAUCCUUGAUCAUUGUACUAACUGAAAGAGGCUGGCAUUAAAAAUAUAUCAAGACAAUUAUUACAACGUAAGAGUAUAUUUACAGAAACUGAAAGAAGACUGUUACCUGCUCCAUAUCACUUUAACUUCUUCACGAAGAAGAUCACCAGCACUCAGAUGUGCAAACCCAUACUCAAAUGAGAUCCUUGAUCAUUGUACUAACUGAAAGAGGCUGGCAUUAAAAAGAUAUCAAGAAAAUUAUCACAACGUAAGAGUAUAUAUACAGGAACUCUUUAUGUAUUGUGCAUUCUAAAUUACAAGAAAAUUAUCGCACGGGCAUUGUACUAAUAUGUGUUGUGCUGCCCUAUAUGUAUUUGAUGUUCAAGGAAUUCUUUAGGCUUUGGCCUGUAGUCAGCGCACAUAUAUGUUUGGUUCAUGCAAGUAAGACACGUGAAAUUCCAUUAUAGGUGGCAGGGGAAUGGAUUUACUCUAGAAAAUUGCUAGGAAUUAAUCAGCAUGUCAAAAGAGAAUUAGAGGAGUAAAUCACAAAGCUUGUUUCAGCCAUUGGAGGAAGAAGUCUGUUACUUAUCAUCAAAGAAGCAUGUUCAACGCACGGCCCUAUAAUGGAAUUACAUCAAGAGAAGAAAAGGUGCUCUCAAGUUGUUAUGCAUAUCAUAUAGCACAUGCAGGACAACAAAAUGACAGUCAUCAAGGAAAAUAUAUAAUUACCAAAAUCAACCCCAAAUCAGCACUCCCCUCGCCAUCUAUGUAUCAGACUACUUGGAACUGAACUGUAUGUAAAGCAAGAUUUAAAUGUUGACCAUUAGUCCUCAAUGUCCCAUGUGUUCUCCAUCAUGCUCCUGACUUUACUAUCAUAUUCUAGUUCGUAGUCUAAAUUCAGUUACUGGUUGCACUCACCCCUAAGUGAACACUAAAAGUUUUAACAGGAUAAAUCACACAUAUAUAUCAUUACCUUAGUCAAUAGAGUCCUGGAACUGUGUCACAAGAUCCCGAC